rnacentral:rRNA from 1 species
GACGAACGCUGGCGGCGUGCCUAAUACAUGCAAGUCGAGCGAUGAAGCUUGGUGCUUGCACCAAUUUGAAGAGCAGCGAACGGGUGAGUAACGCGUGGGGAAUCUGCCUUUGAGCGGGGGACAACAUUUGGAAACGAAUGCUAAUACCGCAUAAUAACUUUAAACAUAAGUUUUAAGUUUGAAAGAUGCAAUUGCAUCACUCAAAGAUGAUCCCGCGUUGUAUUAGCUAGUUGGUGAGGUAAAGGCUCACCAAGGCGAUGAUACAUAGCCGACCUGAGAGGGUGAUCGGCCACCAUGGGACGGAGACACGGCCCCAACUCCUACGGGAGGCAGCAGUAGGGAAUCUUCGGCAAUGGACGCAAGUCUGACCGAGCAACGCCGCGUGAGUGAAGAAGGUUUUCGGAUCGUAAAACUCUGUUGGUAGAGAAGAACGUUGGUGAGAGUGAAAAGCUCAUCAAGUGACGGUAACUACCCAGAAAGGGACGGCUAACUACGUG